AGGGAAGUGAUGAAAACUGUGACUGUUGUGUGACACUGAUUCCUCUCGUAUGCUGAUCCUG
rnacentral:snoRNA from 1 species